rnacentral:rRNA from 1 species
GGGUUCUACCGUUGGUCAGGCUAUCCAGUUUGUACUAGCGUGUAGAAUUCCUACCUUCUGGAGAACCAUCAUGUUAUUAAUGUAGCGUGGUGGGAAACAGUAUCUUUACCUUGAAAAAAUUAGAGUAUUCAAAGCAGGCUUACGUCUGAAUACAUUAGCAUGGAAUAAUAAAUAGGACGGUGGUCCUGUUUUGUUGGUUUCUGAAUCACCAUA